GAUGAGCGCUGGCGGCGUGCCUAAUACAUGCCAGUCGAGCGAACGGACGAGAAGCUUGCUUCUCUGAUGUUAGCGGCGGACGGGUGAGUAACACGUGGAUAACCUACCUAUAAGACUGGGAUAACUUCGGGAAACCGUAGCUAAUACCGGAUAAUAUUUUGAACCGCAUGGUUCAAAAGUGAAAGACGGUCUUGCUGUCACUUAUAGAUGGACCCGCGCUGCAUUAGCUAGUUGGUAAGGUAACGGCUUACCAAGGCAACGAUGCAUAGCCGACCUGAGAGGGUGAUCGGCCACACUGGAACUGAGACACGGUCCAGACUCCUACGGGAGGCAGCAGUAGGGAAUCUUCCGCAAUGGGCGAAAGCCUGACGGAGCAACGCCGCGUGAGUGAUGAAGGUCUUCGGAUCGUAAAACUCUGUUAUUAGGGAAGAACAUAUGUGUAAGUAACUGUGCACAUCUUGACGGUACCUAAUCAGAAAGCCACGGCUAACUACGU
rnacentral:rRNA from 1 species